UCAGGACUGUCAUGAAGGGGCUUGUG
rnacentral:piRNA from 1 species